rnacentral:lncRNA from 1 species
GACCAUACUUUUGUACGUUUACAUUUUAAUUUUUAAUGUAACCAAACUAUCAAUCACAGAAACAGAAAGAUGUUUGUCAUGUUUCAUUUUUCUUAAACACAACGAGAUGGAUCAAAGAACCCGAGAGUCACCGUGCGACGUUCAACCUCCUACUGUACAUGCAAAUUAAAUAUCAUCCGAGUUCAUCUCAACCUCAGAGAGGGUUCACUGUUUGAAAUAUAUUGGAUGUGUUCAGGGUCACAUAAACGGUGCAGCCUUGUUUUGGAUUGACUUUAGACACAUCCCUCACUUCUUCUCCACCCCCCUCGUCUCUCUGUGGAAAUGAUGGCACCGUGCCAUACAGAAGGCUGUGUACAAUGGCCCAGGUCCCAUUAAAUCUGCGAAAGUUCCUUCCUGCAGGCAAACAUUGCCAGAAAUAGUAAUUCUGGCCCGAGCGGGAGCCGUAACAGAGGGGAGCAAUCACUCCCGGCGUAAUAAUGGAAAUCAUUUGAUUCUGUCCGUGCAGCCUCCAGAUCCAGCGGGGGGCUGCAAGUUUGAGGGGGCUCGUUCAGUCUUCCUCCGCCUGAUAAGGCUUCCUGAAAAACACACAGCGAGCAAUCAGGCGACAACAAUGGGCCCCCGUCCGUCAGACGCGUCGAACCUCAGGUAGUCAACAGUGCACCCAGCAGCUCUCCCCUGUCUUCAUCCACAGUGGGCAUGAGACCCGUCAGUGCUCUGACUCUCUGUUUGGAGUGUGGACUCUUCUGGCAGGUUCAGGUCUGCAACAAUUCCAGUGGCUUCACCAGAGGCAGGAGUCACUUGGCACUGGCAGGAAUCCCACUCGCCAUCAUUUAUACGGCUCCGCAGAGGACCGGACUGGAAAAGGGAAAUAAAGGUGAAUAAUAGUAUCCAGCAGCACUGAGGCUGCAAAAGUCAUUUUUUUCCCCCUCCCCAAGUUUUUACAGGUGAUUAGUGCAUCAAAAUGUGGUCUUUUUUUUAACAAUAUUCAAUUUUCAGACCCCGAGCCUUUAAAACAGCUGCAAUAGUUUGAUGCAAGAAGGAAGGUGCGGAUUUAUUCUUGUGUGUGUUUAACAGCAAGACGUGUGCUGCAGGUUUCAUCGGUGCAGUGAAAGGUUUAUGCUUUAUGGCUUAAGAAGAUACAUUUAAGAAAGCUGCUGGUUGCAUUAAAAAACCCCUGUAUUAAAAGAUGUAAAUGACAGGAAGGAAACAUUGGAUUAAAAUAAUAUUUGGAAGAAUGAUAAAACAAUGACGGGGGAAAUCCAACUGGCAGGAUCCCUGCAUGGCUACUAUU